rnacentral:rRNA from 1 species
CCUACGGGGUGCUGCAGUGGGGAAUAUUGGACAAUGGGCGAAAGCCUGAUCCAGCCAUGCCGCGUGUGUGAAGAAGGCCUUCGGGUUGUAAAGCACUUUCAGUGGGGAAGAAAGCCUUGGGGCUAAUACCCUCGAGGAAGGACAUCACCCACGGAAGAAGCACCGGCUAACUCCGUGCCAGCAGCCGCGGUAAUACGGAGGGUGCGAGCGUUAAUCGGAAUUACUGGGCGUAAAGCGCGCGUAGGCGGUCUGAUAAGCCGGUUGUGAAAGCCCCGGGCUCAACCUGGGAACGGCAUCCGGAACUGUCAGGCUAGAGUGCAGGAGAGGAAGGUAGAAUUCCCGGUGUAGCGGUGAAAUGCGUAGAGAUCGGGAGGAAUACCAGUGGCGAAGGCGGCCUUCUGGACUGACACUGACGCUGAGGUGCGAAAGCGUGGGUAGCAAACAGGAUUAGAUACCCGAGUAGUC